AUGCAGUUUUGCUUUUUUUUUUUAAUGAGCAUUUUAAUAUUUCUAAUUUUGUUUUGUUUUGCUUCAUUUGUAUUAGGGAUGUGCCUGAAUUAUCUGGACAUUCACACCAUAUUCAGAGAGAACCCAGUAUUGGAAACAGCUUACCUUGUUAUAUUUUGUAUGGCUCCCCAAAUCUCUUCUACCUGCUGUUGGUGUAUAUUUGCUGGGAAUGCCCUAGGAGAAGCUUACCAGGAAGUGUGGGGCUGGGGAAAACUGAGCAGGGGACCUGUUUUCAGGUCCCGCCAUUCCUGGUCCUCUAAUUGUGUUUAUGAUGUGGCUUUUUCCAAGUCCUGUUCCUUUGGAGCUAAUUGGGGCAUAUUGUGUGAAAGUCUGGCUUCUGACGUCACCAUUCAAUUGAUUCCCGGCACUGCCUCUCCUGGUUCUCCCACCUGUCUGGUCAUUGCUCCUCAGGCUCUUUUGCUGGAUCUCCAUCCAGGUCGUGUCCAUUAACUGUUGUUUUCCCCGUUACACUGGAAGCUUCUUAAAAGCAAGAACUUAAAAAAACAAAACCCCUCGGUCUCCUCGGGGCGAUGUCUGACAAAUGACAGGCGCAGAAUGCUUAUUUGACUAACUGGAUGAUCACUUACUACAUGACUUCAAGGUGGAUUCAAAUG
ensembl:lncRNA